GGGUAAGUUCCGACCCGCACGAAUGGCGUAACGAUUUCCCCACUGUCUCCAGUAUCGACUCAGCGAAAUUGAAUUCUCCGUGAAGAUGCGGAGUACCCGCGGUUAGACGGAAAGACCCCGUGCACCUUUACUACAGCUUCGCAGUGGCGUUAGUGGCGAUAUGUGUAGGAUAGGCGGGAGGCUUUGAAACCCAGGCGCCAGUCUGGGUGGAGCCAUCCUUGAAAUACCGCCCUUAUCCUCAUUGACGUCUAACCGCGGUCCAUGAACCUGGAUCCGGGACCCUGCGUGGCGGGUAGUUUGACUGGGGCGGUCGCCUCCCAAAAAGGAAAGGAGGGGGGCAAAGG
rnacentral:rRNA from 1 species